rnacentral:siRNA from 1 species
AUCACUAAUCGCUGCGUAGAGUGC